UACAGAGGGUGCAAGCGUUAAUCGGAAUUACUGGGCGUAAAGCGUGCGCAGGCGGUUCGCUGUGUCCUGUGUGAAAGCCCCGGGCUUAACCUGGGAAUGGCAUGGGAAACUGGCGGGCUGGAGUGUGGCAGAGGGGGUGGAAUUCCGCGUGUAGCAGUGAAAUGCGUAGAGAUGCGGAGGAACACCGAUGGCGAAGGCAGCCCCCUGGGCUAACACUGACGCUCAGGCACGAAAGCGUGGGGAGCAAACAGG
rnacentral:rRNA from 1 species